rnacentral:lncRNA from 1 species
CUCACAUUCUGAGAGCAAUGGGAAUGGACUGGGGUGUCGGGGAGGGGGUCUGAGGGGUGUUGGUGGAAGCAAAAGUAUUCUCACAAAGGCACAGCAAGUACACAACCAGGAGACACAUUCUUAAAAAGCAUGGCCCUCAGGAACCUUGGUCUCUUCAGUGGCUCCAGCUCUUGUGACAGAGCUCUAUCGGUUUAGGGGCAUGGAAGGGUGGCUUAAACCCAACAGAGGACCACAGCUCUGCAUCAGCAUUCUGCUUCUUACAGGCUUCAGUAAUGGGGAAGAGUAUAGCAGAACCCCAGAGACCAAUUUUCCACUUCCAUUUACCAAGCCAAAUAGGAAGGCUGUGUCACAAGGAUGCUUGUCUUUCAUGAAAAAGUCUAACCACCACACUAACUACCCUUGAGAAGGCCCUCCUGAGAAAUAAACUGCAUCUUCGUUGAUGACAACUCAUGGUCAAACUUUUGCAAUGUUCCUAACAUUGCGCAUGGAGCAGAGCCACAAAAGUGGUUUUUGAAUAAUUGAACAUGACUGAGUAACUCGUCUAUGAAUGUGGCAAGUGGGACCUCUACUGUGGCAGAAACCCUGAGGCCUGAUG